AGGAUGAACGCUGGCGGCGUGCUUAACACAUGCAAGUCGAACGGUGAAAGAGGAGCUUGCUCCUCUCGAUCAGUGGCGAACGGGUGAGUAACACGUGAGUAACCUGCCCCAGACUCUGGGAUAAGCACUGGAAACGGUGUCUAAUACCGGAUACGAGCUUCAGCCGCAUGGCUAGGAGCUGGAAAGAAUUUCGGUCUGGGAUGGACUCGCGGCCUAUCAGCUAGUUGGUGAGGUAAUGGCUCACCAAGGCGACGACGGGUAGCCGGCCUGAGAGGGUGACCGGCCACACUGGGACUGAGACACGGCCCAGACUCCUACGGGAGGCAGCAGUGGGGAAUAUUGCACAAUGGGCGCAAGCCUGAUGCAGCAACGCCGCGUGAGGGACGACGGCCUUCGGGUUGUAAACCUCUUUAGUAGGGAAGAAGCGAAGUGACGGUACCUGCAGAAAAGCACCGGCUAACUACGUGCCAGCAGCCGCGGUAAU
rnacentral:rRNA from 1 species